GAUGAACGCUAGCGGCAGGCCUAACACAUGCAAGUCGAGGGGUAGCAGGAUUAAGCUUGCUUAAUUGCUGACGACCGGCGCACGGGAGCGUAACGCGUAUGCAACCUACCUUAUACUGGGGUAUAGCCCGGAGAAAUUCGGAUUAAUCCCCCAUAGUACUAAUGAAUCGCAUGGUUUAUUAGUCAAAGCAUUGCGGUAUAAGAUGGGCAUGCGUCCUAUUAGCUAGAUGGUGAGGUAACGGCUCACCAUGGCUACGAUAGGUAGGGGGCCUGAGAGGGUGGUCCCCCACACUGGUACUGAGACACGGACCAGACUCCUACGGGAGGCAGCAGUGAGGAAUAUUGGUCAAUGGGCGCAAGCCUGAACCAGCCAUGCCGCGUGCAGGAAGAAUGCCCUAUGGGUUGUAAACUGCUUUUAUUUGGGAAUAAACCUCUUUACGUGUAGAGAGCUGAAGGUACCAAAUGAAUAAGCACCGGCUAACUCCGUGCCAGCAGCCGCGGUAA
rnacentral:rRNA from 1 species